UGUAAACAUCCUACACUCUCAGCUGUGGAAACUAAGAAAGCUGGGAGAAGGCUGUUUACUCUCUCUGCCUUG
ensembl:miRNA tgu-mir-30c tgu-mir-30c